rnacentral:rRNA from 1 species
UACGGAGGGAGCUAGCGUUGUUCGGAUAUACUGGGCGUAAAGCGCACGUAGGCGGCUUUGUAAGUUAGAGGUGAAAGCCCGGAGCUCAACUCCGGAAUUGCCUUUAAGACUGCAUCGCUUGAAUCCAGGAGAGGUGAGUGGAAUUCCGAGUGUAGAGGUGAAAUUCGUAGAUAUUGGGAAGAACACCUGAGGCGAAGGCGGGAUGCUGGGCCGACACUGACGCUGAGGCGCGAAAGCCAGGGGAGCGAACGGG